GCGCCCGUGGCGGAACAGGUAGACGCGCUAGGUUGAGGGCCUAGUUCCCGUCAAGGGAGUGCUGGUUCGAGUCCAGUCGGGCGCACCA
rnacentral:tRNA from 1 species